UACGUAGGUGGCAAGCGUUAUCCGGAAUUACUGGGCGUAAAGCGCACGCAGGCGGCUCGUCAAGUUCGACGUGAAAGCUCUCGGCUUAACUGGGAGAGGUCGUUGAAAACUGAUGGGCUUGAGGCAAGGAGAGGGGUGUAGAAUUCCCGGUGUAGUGGUGGAAUGCGUAGAUAUCGGGGGGAAUACCAGUGGCGAAAGCGGCACCCUAGCCUUGUGCUGACGCUCAUGUGCGAAAGCGUGGGGAGCAAACAGG
rnacentral:rRNA from 1 species